CAAUCUGCUGAGCGAUACCAGCCAGGGCUUGUGGUUCUUGUAGAGACUCCAGGGCCACCCAAGAGGCCAGCAAGCCUCCUGACUUCUGUUCUCCUGCAGCCCCACCUUCCCAGCUUGCUGCCCCUGCCCAGGUGAGGACCCUUAGAGGGGAAAAAGGGGUGCCUGCUGCAGGAGGAAAGGCCAAGAGCAAGGCACCAGUGACGUCUGGGGACUUGGCCAUCCACUUCCUCCUGGAUGAGUGAGGAGGGUGAGCCCUGUGUGGAAGGAUCUGUACGGACGUCAUGCUGGAGAACUGCCAGCACCUGGUCUCUCUCGGUGAAGCCCCCGCAAUCCACAGCUACCCUUCAAGGGAUGGGAACUAGCCAGCCCGGCCUGGCAAACAGAAGCUGCUCCAGUCUGGGACUUUCUUAUCAGAGGCCAACGUGAUCACCUUGUGAGAGAAGGGGAUAGCACCCUGGAUGGAGCCAGCGAGAAGACGCAGGGGCCUGGGUAAAUAAAUAAAAUCUUAAAAAAAGAAAAAGAAUGACCCUGAAUCUCCAUGAGAAAAUGAAUGAUGGGAAAAAAAACCUUUGGCUGUGGGGAGGCCUUGAAUCAGUGCCCAUCCCUCAGUCUACAUCAGAAAAGCCGCCUUGUGGAGAACACCCCCUGGUGCAGAAAGUGUGGGAAAGCCUUCAUUCAAAGGUCAUCCUUUUUACUUCAUAGGAAGACUCAAAAUGGAAGGAUAAUACGUAAGUGCAGUAAACAUGCAAGAGGCUUCAGUAAGAGGUCAGUCCUUGUUGUACCUAAAAGAAUUCACACUGGAGAGGAAAACCCAUGAGGGUGAGAAGGCCUUAACAGGGAAAUCACCUUUUAGACAAUCCUUAUAAAUGUAGAAAAUGCGGAAAAUUCUUUAAUAGGAUUUCAUCCAUUAUGCUUCAUCAGAGAGUUCAUGCUUCAGAAAAACCCUACAUACAUGAUAAAUGCCAGAAGGUCUUCAGGUGGCUUUCAACCCUUAUUCUACAUCUAAAAAUUCAUAAUGGAGAGAAACUGUACAGAUGGAACAAAUGUGAGAAGGUCUAUAAUUGGCACUCAUCCCGUCUUCAACACCAGAAAGUUCAUACAAGGAAAAAGAAACUGUUUGUCAGGAAUGUGGGGAGAUGUUUUCUGAAACUGCCAACCUUAAAAUUCAUCAGGACAUUCAUUCUGAAGAGAAACCUUUCAAAUGCAGUAAAUGUGGUAAAGUGUUUGGCCACCAAUUAUUUCUUAUUAAACAUCAGAGAAUUCAUACUGGAGAAAAACCGUACCAAUGCAAGGAAUGUGGGAAGGCCUUCAGCCAUCUAAUAUCUCUUACUCGACAUCAGAGAAUUCAUACUGAAGACAGACCAUAUCAAUGUGGUCAGUGUGGAAAGGCCUUCAGCCAGAGUGCACACCUCACCCAGCAUAAAAGAAUUCACACUGGAGAGAAACCAUACAUGUAUAAAACAUGUGAGAAGGCCUUUAGUCAAUAUAUGUCCCUUAUUCUACAUGAAAGAAGUCAUACUGGAGUGAAACCCUAUGAAUGUAACAAGUGUGAGAAGGCCUUCUUCAGCAGUGUCUCGGACCUUAUCUGAUAUCGGAGAAGUCAUUCUUCUGAGAAACCCUAUGCAGCUACUAAAUGUGGGAAGGCAUACAGUUGGAGCUCAUCCCUGAUUUGACAUCAAAGUACCCAUUCAGCACAAAAAGCCUAACAUUGUUACAAGAGCAAAGACUUAGGCUCAAAGUAGCAGAGACAGAAGCAUGAGGAACAGGCAUUUGUCUCUAACAAAAAUUUUGCAAAAAUGGGACCAUUUGAUGAUGCAUCCCACUUUGAAAGCCAAACAGCAAAACUUCUUGGUGACUUUGACCUGAGAAUUUGAAAUUGAGGCAGUGACCUAAUCAUAAGUCUUAAUCAAGCUCAGAUGAUUGGAUACUUCAUUUUUCAUAAAAACCAUUCUUCAUUUGGUAAGAAUCACUGAUUAUUUUUUUCCAAUGUAGUUUUAAAGCUAUUUUGUUGGUCAUAUACAAAAAGUAGAAUUGUAAAGUCCAUCUUUGUGGGUGGGGCUUUGAUCCUGAUUUAAUGUCAUGUGAAGAAAGAGUUUGGGGUUUGUCCCUUAGAACAGAACUAUCGCAUAUGAGGGACUUCCUGGAAAACUAGGAUGUCACUUUCAGCUGACAGAAAUACGUGGGUGAUAGUAAGAGUGAAUUCUUGAAUGGAUAAAGAUGACACAAUUGUGUGGAGCAAGGAGACGUCAGGAUACUAUCUCCAUAGAUGGGAAGUUCCAUGACCUUUGUGAUGUGAAAAACCUAACAAUCCUGACAGUCCAGUGCUGGCUGGGGGAGUGGGAGUAAGGUGGGACAGGAUAUACUGAAGACCGUGGAACUGCUGAGCAGAAAUAUUUGUUUUAUUUGAAAACAAAUUUUUCUAUAUUUACAUGAAUGUUGGUAUUUUCAAGUAAGAACACUGGUGUGCAAUAAGUAAUUGGUGGAGAAUGGGGCCUUGUAGACUGAAUGUGUCUAACCCGAAUUCAUAUGUUGAAGCCCUUCCCCCCAAGGUGAUGGUAUUUGGAAAUGGGGCCUUUGAGGAGUAAUUGGGAUUAUGAGGGUGGAGCUGUCAUGAUGGGAUUUGUGUCUUUAAAAGAAGGGACACCAAAGAGAUUCACUUUUCUCUCUCUGCCAGGUCAGGACAGAGCUGUCUGUAAGCCAGGAAGCUAACACUGCACAGUACCCAACUGUGCUAGCAUCCCAAUCUUGGCCUCUCAGCCUUGAGAGCCAUGAGAAAGAAAUGUCUGUUGUUUAAGACCCCAGUUCGUGGUACUUUGUUAUGGCAGCUGAACUGAGAACUUUGGAAUGUGUGGCCACAUGGAUGAGGUCUCUAACUUUGACCACAACUGAGGAAAACAACCACAUUUGUGAAGUGUGAUCAUACGUGCAGUAUAAGGUAUGACAAUUUUUUAUUUAAACUUUUCACAUCAAAAACUAAAAAACAAAAUUUUCACAUCAAUUCUAUAAAAUCAUUAAAAAAUCUCCAAGGUUGAUUUUUAUGACGUUUAUUAUUUCCAUUUUUCUUACAUUAAUUUCUAGUGUUCAUUGCUCUUCACUUUCUUAUUAAGGUGGAAAUUGAAGUAAUGGACUUGAGUGCUUUCUUUUAAAACUUAGGCGGCUAGUGCUAUUAUAUUUCCUUUUAAAUACAGUGUUACACCUUUUGAUAUUCUAUGUUCUAAGUUUCAUUGAAUUCAAAUACUUUCUAUAUUUCCUUUUUUGGUUUCUAUUUUGACCCAUGGGUUACUAAAAAUUGGGCUAUUUAGGUCCAAAUAUUUGGGGAUUUUCUAAUUAUCUUUCUGUUACUGAUUUCUAAUUUAUUUUGGUCACAAGAACAUUUUGUAUGACUUGAACCUUUUUAAAUUUAUGGAGACAAGUUGUAAGGCCUGGAGUAUGAUCUGUCUUGGUAAAUGUGCUGGGUGCAUUUGAAAAGAAUAUAUAGUAUAUUCUGUUCUGGGGUGGGAUCACUUCAAAAUGGUCAAUUAGGUCAAGUUGGCUGAUAGUGCUGUUUAAGUCUUCAAUAUCCUUACUGGUUUUCUACUCAUUAUAUUGAGAGAUGCAUUUUGAAAUCUCUUACCAUUGUGGAUUUGUGUGUUUCUCCUUAUAGUUCUAUCAGUCCUUUCCUGGACUUCAGGUAACUUCCACAUAUGUGUUCUGUUCACUAUUCUGAUAAAUACCAGAGUUUACUCAGGUAAAAAAAUUGCAGAUGUCUAUGUUGUUUUUUCUCUAAGAGCACUCAGGCGCUUCAUCCUGUGAAGUGUAACCUCCUCAGUCUCCUGGAAUCCCAGCCCCAUCUCCUCCACUGAGCAACACUGCAGCCUGGAAACACCACGUGCAGCUCCCCGGGGAGGUCGUAGCACAGCACUCGGCUCAUUCGUGUCCCGUGUCCCAGGGAUCUCUCUCGUUGCCAGAUGUCCAGAGUCUCUUAAACACCAAGGUUUUAUGUAGUUUGUUCAGUUUUUUAACAUUUUAGGUGGAAGGGUAAACUAUUCCCUCUAAUUUCAUUUUCACCAGAAGUACAAAUCUCAAAUAAGCACUUAGUGAAGGAAGGGAUCACUAAGGGUCUAGAAUCUAUUUUCAAACAACAUUUCAGUUAACAUUCUUGUACAUAUAUUUUGUAAGGUUUUUUUGUUUUAACAUUUUAAUUUAUUUGAGAGAGAGGAUGGGAGGGAGAAAGAGGGAGAGAAACACCAGUGUGCAAGAGACAGAUAGAUUGGUUGUUUCUCGCAUGCCCCCAACUGGGUACCUGGUCUGAAACCCAGGCAUGUGCCCUGACCGGGAAUCAAACCGGUGACUUUGGCUUGCAGGCUGGCAUUCAGUCCCCUGAGCCACACCAGCAAGGGUGCUUUUGUACGAUUUUACCAAUGUUUUUGGAGGAUGAAUUGCUGGAUCAAAAGACAGACAUUUUAAUAGAUAUUGACAACUUGCCUUUGCUAUUUAAACUAGUAUCUAUAUAGAAUGAAGGAUUCUUAGAGAAAUUUUAGGCACCUUCGACCAGUGCUACAUCUUGCUCACCAAGUUGGGAUGCAUUAGUAAAGUUUUUCAGAGUUUCCUCUGCUUGCUUUUUCUCCAUUAUGUUCCUCUUCUCAGAGGACAGAGGGUACCAAAGAUCCUGACAUGUUCAAAUCCUCACCCAGAAGAUAUGUUUUAUAGAUUUUAGAGGAAGGGGCAGGAGACAGGGAAAGAGAAUGAGAGAAACAGAACUGUUUCCUAUGUGCCCUGACUGGGGAUCAAACCUACAACCCAGGUAUACACCCCAACUGAGAACUGAGCCUGCAACUUUUUUGUGUAUGAGAUGAUCUCCAACCCAUUGAAUCACCUGGCCAGGGCUUUGUUACACCUGAAUAGUGUGUGAUAUGAGGUGGUGUCACUUUCCUAUUUUAACGAUGCUGGCAUAUUUAUUUUUUGUCCCCGCCUCCCUUCAUUUUAGAAGGAACUUGGAUAAGGCUGAAUCUUCCAGUGUUUCAUAGGGCCUCCCUUUGCAGGGCUAGAACUUAAAUUUUUUGAAUGAGUAGAGUUCUUCCUGAUUUAGCUGUCUGUCAACAGGCAGUCAUCCAGAGCAGCAGGAAAUUCUAGUCCAGUGGUUCCCAAACAUUACUGCAUACUGAAAUCACCUGGAAGGUGAUUUGCCUGAGUUUUGGACCAGGUACCCCGCUGGGGGCAUGCGAGAAGCAACCAGUCUCUCUCUCUUUUGCACAUUGGUGUUUCUCUCCCUUUCUCCCUCCCUUCCUCUCUCAAGUAAAUAAAAAUCUUAGAACAAAAAACCUUACAAAAUAUAUGUACAAGAAUGUUAAUUGAAAUGUUGUUUGAAAAUAGAUUCUAGACCCUUAGUGAUCCCUUCCUUCACUGGGGAAUCUUAUUUAUGAAAAUGCAUAUUUCAAAUGAUCAGGUCAGGGUUAGAGCCCAGGAUUCUGGAGCUCGAACACAUUCUCAAGUGAUGCUGACACUGCUAGUUCGUGGCCCAUAAUCAAAGCAGCAAGGAUUUGGCCCUUACUUUGCAGUCGCAGCUCAUCAUCAGUCACGAUAAAUCCCCUUUUCAGGCCCCGAGUUCCUUCUUGAGCCCUCUGGUCCCUGUCCUGCCACUGAGACCAUAAACAGAGAUAGGGAGACUUGAAGAGCCAGACUUUUAAAAGUAAUGCUGUGGCUGAAAUGAAAGUGUUUUUCUGUUUGUUUUUGGGUUUUUUGCCCAGAUACACCACUGCUUUGGAGUAAUUUUGUGCUUUCAAAUGCAAGAGCAGCUUCCUCCCAGGAUUCUUACCACAUUUAGCAGCAUUUCUUUGUGGACUUUGAGGCUCAGAAUUGUACGUCUCAACUUCAUCCAAGAUGGUGGAGCUUCCACAUCUGAUUCUUGUCCUUGUUGCUUUUCCUUGGUUUCAUAAAGGAGGGGCAGAUAGAGACACCUUGGUUCCACCACUUAAAAUUCAGAAGUUGGUAAAUACAUUUAAAGGUUCCUCAUACAUACAUUUGAACUUGCCUUUUCGUGAAUUCACUCUCCUGCAGAGACCAGAAGGGACUGGGAAAUGAAGUUUCUUUACUGGAAGCCAACCGCCUUUGUAGAUCAGAUCCGUUCUUCAUGAAAGUCGCACUUCCUGGUAGUUGUGUCUCUACCAGCCACCUUAGAUGAGGGCAGCCAUCUAUGGAAGCCCUUGACAGUAACUCCCCUGACCCUGGUCAGGUGGCUCAGGUGGUUGGAGCAUUGUCACAUACACCAAAAGGUUGUGGGUCCAAUCCCUGGUCAGAGUGCAUAUGGGAGACAACCAAUGGAUGUUUCUCACAUCGAUGUUUCUCUCUUCCCAAUCCCCCUUUCGUCUCUAAAAUCAAUAAACAUAUCUAAGGAUUUGAAUUUUUUAAAAAUAAUAUGGUUGAUUGUCCUAGGUAAAUGGCAGACAGUUCUUCAGAUACUCUAUAGAUGUUUCCCCAAAUGGCAAGAGUUACUGGGAUCUCUGUAUGUUACCAGGAAGGGCAAGGGAACCAAUGAGAGAUUCUACAAAUUCAAAAAAAAAGUGUCAGCUUAGGCUGCUGUCACAGCAGCUGCCCUAGUUCACUGUUAGUCCAUUCCAUUUUUUCAUACUUUAACUUUUAGAUUCAUAUUACAUUCUUAUUUAUAACAUCAAAUAUUACUAACACUAAAUUCUCUCUAGAGAAUAUCCAAUUGCAGUCCCCUCCCCAGAAGAAACACUUACUGGUUGAAUGUGUCUAUUCAAGAACUUUUUCUAAGCAUUCACACUUACAUAAAUGUAUGAGAAAUGUACUUUAAAAAUAUAAUACUGUUUAUUCUGAAAAAUUUGCUUGUUUCAAUGUAUUUUAGUUAAAUCUACAUCAAUAUUCAGUCCAUUCUCUUAAACUGCUGCUAGUACUUCUACUAAUGCCUCUUCCAGUGUUUCCUGUACCGACCAUACUGCCUUCCAAAGGAGCUACAGUGAAUAUUUUUUAAAACUUCAAUGCCUCCAAAGUAGCUGUGAUGAGUACUUUUUUCUCCCCACCACUAACAACUUUUAGAUUACAUUACUUAAAUUUGUUUCUCAAUACUAGCAGAGUUAAGCAGGAACUCAUUUACUGGCCACCCAUAUUUCUUCUUGGAUUUGUUCAUCCUUAUCCUUUGUCCACUUUUAUAUUUGCCUAGUUGUACUUUAUUGAUAUCUUAAUUUCUCCCUUUGUAUUAAUUAUCUCCCUUUCUGUUGCCUUUUAACUUUGUUUAAAAGCAUGCUAACUUUUGAUGUUAACCUCAUUAAUCUUUAUGGCUUUCGUUUUGUCUAUUUUAGAAAGAUAUGUCCUACAUCGAAAUCAUAAACACACCUGACUAUAUUUUCGUCUAACUUUUGCUGCUUUACUUAUUUUCAUAUUUAGGAUUUUAUUGUACGGGAAGUCAUUUUUGUGGGUGAAGGGUCUCAUUCAGUGUACUUAUGGAAGAGAGGGUGGAGUGGGAAGCUGCUGGCAGGGGAGACUAACAUAAUUUUCAUGUAGAAAAGCACUUAACAGCCCUGUUACUGUCUCCACAGUACCCCCAGGCUCCACGCAAGCCAACUCAGAGCAGAUGGGUUCCCAUUUAACUGAAUCCCUUAACAUGUGAACAUUUUGGUUAGCAGUUUCUUGUGCUACAUUUCAUGAAUAAACAAACACUCAUCUCUCUUUUGCCUUUGGCAAAAUGUAACUCGUCCAGUGAUGACCCUCUUUUCAGCCUUUUGUUUCAUACCUUUUGCAUGUUUAUCUGUUUACUGGAUCUAAGGGGGAGAUAUACUUGUAUGAUGUUUAACUGCAAAGAAAAUCUUGGUUUGUCCCGUGAAAAUUCUAAUAUUGACAGCUGCCUUUCACAAAGGUUGUCCAGUUCCUACUUCCUCACCCAGCACAUAGAAGUAUCUCCUUUCAUGUGCUUUUGCCAUGCAAGCAGUUCAUUGGUUUAACUUUAUUUCUUCUGAUCCCAGUGAGAUUCAGUACUUACCAUGUGUUCAUCUGUCACCUGUUGCCUCUUCAUACCCUUUGCCAGUGGGGAGAAGUGUCAUUUUCUAAGUAAUCAUAGGAGAACUUCUAUAUUAAGGAUAUGAAUUUUAUGAAUUAAUGAUUUCCUCUAAUUCUGAUGUUUAAACCUUUUGUUUAUACUAUCUUUGACUAUGUAAACACUUUAUUAAAUAAAGUUCUCACACAAUCAAACCUAGAAUCUUGGUAUGUGUGGUGGCUUCUGGAUCCACAUCAUGUUUAGGAAGAUUGUUCUUACUCCAAAGAAUGACGGGGUGGUUUUGUACAGAGCUGAGUCAGUUUUACCAAUACUGUUAAGCCAGUGGCAUGAAAUAGCACCUUUAUGAUAUACUUCCUUUAUAUGUAUAUCUGUAUGAAUGU